rnacentral:lncRNA from 1 species
GGACAGACCCAGGAAGCUCUUGAAGACUCGGAGGGACUCAGGAACCCAGAAGGAUUAGGAUUAGAGGUGGAGGACGGGGAUUUGGGUGCCGGUGACUCCCAGGACUGGAGCGAGGACGGGGGGAGGACCAGGGACGGUGGGGUUGACAUUACGUCGUCGGAGGAGUACUUUGACUCGCGGUCGUGGCACAGUGACACGCUGUGUGACACUCUGUCAGACCUGAGCCCGGACAGCAGCGAGGACUCUCUGUCUGCCAUACUGGGGGUGGAGGACGUACGCACGGGAUGGAAGAACAGCAGAUACCACACCGCUGGGGACUGUAGAGCCAGACGCACAGCCGAGAGGAGCCAGCACAGCCACAGCACAGAGAACGCAGAGACUGACGUACGCGGACCCAGCAAAGAGAAACACAACCAGACCUGCACAGAGACAGCACAGAGUCAACUUGGCAACACAGAGAAGAAGCAACACAAUCACAGGACAGAAACACAGCACAGCACAGAGUUGCACAAUCAGCUCAGCACAGUGAUACAUAAGACAGGAGUAACAACCCAGCACAACCAAGGGAAAGUCAGCACAGAGGUUCGUAUCACUGAAAUCACAGGUAAUCAGAAUGCACCAACGUUAGUGCUUCACACAGAGUCACACAAACCGAAUCGCUCAGACAGACACAAAAUCAACAUCGCACAAAGCACAGAAACAUUUGCACAGAGAAACAGCACAGAGGAAACUAGCAGAGAGACACGAUCGCUGAGCAGCACCGAGAAACAGAGCACAGGGUUCGAAAACACAGCUUGCACAGAGAAACAGAGCACAGGGUUCGAAAACACAGCUUGCACAGAGAAACAGAGCACAGGCACUAAAUGCACAGGGAUAUGUAAACAACAUAGCGUAGAUAUACAAAGUAUAGAUCUGCUGUCCACUCUACACAGUGUAGAGAAAGAGAAUUCACAAAUACACAACCGUCACCUAGAGCAGGUAAGCCUUGCCAGCCAGGAUAUAUCUAGAGCCUACGGAGAGGAGACAACCAAUCAACACAGUUCAGAGACACACUGCAUAGACACACACAACACAACAGACACACAGUGUUCGGACAUAUCUGGCAAACACGUGACACUUUGCAGAGAUACACCCAACACACUCAAAGCAGAGACACACUGUAGGCUCGCGCACAACAAUCACAGCUCAGACAUACACUUAUCUGACACACAAAGUGAACUUAUCCCGGAGCAUCCCACAACAGACACGCACAGUACAGAAACACACACCACAGAGACAAUCUAUACGGACACACAACCCACAGAGACAGAGAGGAGUAGCACACGCAACACAGAGACAGAGAGGAGUAGCACACCCAACACAGACACAGAGAGGAGUAGCACACCCUACACAGAGACAGAGAGGAGUAGCACACCCAACAUAGAGACAGAGAGGAGUAGCACACCCUACACAGAGACAGAGAGGAGUAGCACACCCUACACAGAGACAGAGAGGAGUAGCACACCC